rnacentral:misc_RNA from 1 species
GGGGCCCAGAAAACUUCAGGCUCAGGUUCCUUAUUUUGCUGUUCAGGUUGCUGAGAUUUGGAAGACCCUUUGCCGCUCUUUGAUGUCCCACGCUCCUUGUCAGACUUCUUCUUCUUCCUCAAAGUCUCAAGGGCUGCAAACACGUUAGUGUUAUUGAUCACCAGCGAUCCCUCAUCUCUCCUGCCUCCCCCAACCAUUUCUCACUAACACCAAGACCAAUUAAACGGUUCGCAAUUGAUGCAAAAGUCAAAAACACGGGGCAAAAAACUAAAUCCGUUGGCUAAACUGCAAUUUAGUGCACAGUAUCUUGAAUAUCAACAAAAUUUGAAAAACAAAAAAC